rnacentral:rRNA from 1 species
CAAAAACUUAGUCUCAGUUCGGAUUGUAGGCUGAAACUCGCCUACAUGAAGCUGGAGUUGCUAGUAAUCGCGAAUCAGCAUGUCGCGGUGAAUACGUUCCCGGGCCUUGUACACACCGCCCGUCACACCAUGAGAGUUGGCAAUACCCAACGUACGUGAUCUAACCCGCAAGGGAGGAAGCGUCCUAAGGUAGGGUCAGCGAUUGGGGUGAAGUCGUAACAAGGUAAC